rnacentral:rRNA from 1 species
AACGCGAAGAACCUUACCAGGUCUUGACAUCCUUUUGCCCUCCCUAGAGAUAGGGACUUCCCUUCGGGGACAAAAGUGACAGGUGGUGCAUGGUUGUCGUCAGCUCGUGUCGUGAGAUGUUGGGUUAAGUCCCGCAACGAGCGCAACCCUUGAUCUUAGUUGCCAGCAUUUAGUUGGGCACUCUAAGGUGACUGCCGGUGACAAACCGGAGGAAGGUGGGGAUGACGUCAAAUCAUCAUGCCCCUUAUGACCUGGGCUACACACGUGCUACAAUGGAUGGUACAAAGAGCUGCGAACCCGCGAGGGUAAGCGAAUCUCAUAAAGCCAUUCUCAGUUCGGAUUGUAGGCUGCAACUCGCCUACAUGAAGCCGGAAUCGCUAGUAAUCGCGGAUCAGCAUGCCGCGGUGAAUACGUUCCCGGGCCUUGUA